rnacentral:tRNA from 1 species
GCCGAUGUAGCUCAGCGGUAGAGCAGCUGUUUCGUAAACAGCUGGCCGGCGGUUCGAUUCCGCCCAUCGGCUCCA